rnacentral:tRNA from 1 species
UAAGAUGGCUGAGUGUAAGCGGUGGGUUGUAAACCCAUAGACGGAGGUUUAAAUCCUUCUCUUAU